CAAUCAUAUCGCAUUGAAACACCAGUUGUCAUAUGAUCACUUAAGUUUAACAAUGUCGAGCCUGGUCAGUACUUACAUGGGUGACCACUUGGGAAUACCAGGU